rnacentral:misc_RNA from 1 species
UCAAACAGCGGCCUUCGGGCCUUGCUGCACCCUUGUCUUUUGCGUACCGUAUGUUUCCUCGGCGGGCUUGCCUGCCGGUUGGACAUUUCUCAAAACCUUUUUGUAGUUGCAAUCAGCGUCAGAAAACAAAAUAAUUAUUA